UCCGGCUUGUCACCGGCAGUUUCCCUAGAGUUCCCACCAUUACGUGCUGGCAACUAAGGAUGAGGGUUGCGCUCGUUGCGGGACUUAACCCAACAUCUCACGACACGAGCUGACGACAGCCAUGCAACACCUGUCUAGGAGCAGAUUGCUCCGCCCAAAUGAUCUCUCAUAAGGUUCCCCUAGAUGUCGAGGCCUGGUAAGGUUUUUCGCGUUGCAUCGAAUUAAACCACAUGCUCCACCGCUUGUGCGGGUCCCCGUCAAUUCCUUUGAGUUUUAAUCUUGCGACCGUACUCCCCAGGCGGGGUGCUUAACGCGUUAGCUACAUCACCGAAACAUAAAGUCCCGACAAUUAGCACCCAUCGUUUAGGGCGUGGACUAC
rnacentral:misc_RNA from 1 species